rnacentral:rRNA from 1 species
GACAUAACCGCACCAAACCCUAGCCCCCCGUCCACAGCCACCCGCUCCUUCACACAGCCGCCGCACCAUUCCUCCCUUCCGCCCCCUCCUCCUUCCCGGAUCCCCACCACGGGACCGACCUGCAGGCAAAGGGCAACAGCGGCGGCGCUCAGUUAGAUCUGUAGGAGAGAGAAGAUGAGAGGGAGAGAGAGGAGGGAGAAAGAGAGCAAGAGGAGAGGAGGCACGGCGUCGGAUGGGAGAGUGGCCAACCCGGCUCGCGUCGGCUGGGGCCGCACCCCUCCCUGAAGGGCGGCGAUGAUGGAGGGAUCCACGGCGCCAUCCAGGCUCCCGACCGACGGACUCGCUGGGUCGCCGCCCAUCCCGUGCGGCGGGGACAUCCACGGCGGCGCGGGCUGGGGACCGAGCGGCGGGGCCCGUGGUGCGUUCGGUCGAGGGAUUGGUCGGGCCGGCGCGGGCUCUUAGCCGCCGUCGAUGGAUUUCUCG